AUUGAACGCUGGCGGCAGGCCUAACACAUGCAAGUCGAGCGAGCGUCGGGCGGGUGAGUAAUGUAUGGGGACUGCCCGAUAGAGGGGGAUAACUCCUGGAAACGGUGGCUAAUACCCCAUACUGUCGGAUAACCCAUAUGGGAUUAGCUAGUAGGUAAGGUAAUGGCUUACCUAGGCGACGAUCCCUAUCUGGUCUGAGAGGAUGAUCAGCCACACUGGGACUGAGACACGGCCCAGACUCCUACGGAGGCAGCAGUGGGGAAUAUUGCACAAUGGGAGCAAGCCUGAUGCAGCCAUGCCGCGUGUAUGAAGAAGGCCCUAGGGUUGUAAAGUAUUUUCAGUCGGGAGGCGUUAACGACAGAAGAAGCACCGGCUAACUCCGUGCCAGCAGCCGCGGUAAUUC
rnacentral:rRNA from 1 species